rnacentral:rRNA from 1 species
CCUGAUAGUGGGGGAUAACGACCGGAAACGGUCGCUAAUACCGCGUACGUCCUACGGGAGAAAGUGGGGGAUCUUCCGACCUCACGCUAUCAGAUGAGCCUAGGUCGGAUUAGCUAGUUGGUGGGGUAAAGGCCCACCAAGGCGACGAUCCGUAACUGGUCUGAGAGGAUGAUCAGUCACACUGGAACUGAGACACGGUCCAGACUCCUACGGGAGGCAGCAGUGGGGAAUAUUGGACAAUGGGCGCAAGCCUGAUCCAGCCAUGCCGCGUGUGUGAAGAAGGUCUUCGGAUUGUAAAGCACUUUAAGUUGGGAGGAAGGGCUGCGUAUUAAUACUGUGCAGUUUUGACGUUACCGACAGAAUAAGCACCGGCUAACUUCGUGCCAGCAGCCGCGGUAAU